AGCUCUGUAAGCGUAUAUCAAAGUUGUUGCAGUUAAAACGCUCGUAGUCGAAUCUUGGCUGAACUUACGCGGAGUCCGCAAGGAUUCUGCGGUUGAGGAAAGCCUUUGUGGAUUGUGUGCGCGGAGGUGUUUUAUUACACUUCCGUUGUACUGCCACCGUUUACUGUGAAAAAAUUAGAGUGUUCAAAGCAAGCGAUUUGCCCUGAAUACAUUAGCAUGGAAUAAUAGAAUAGGACCUGGUCUUAUUUUGUUUGUUUGUAUAAUUUCAGGUAAUGAUUAACAGGGACGGUUGGGGGCAUUUGUAUUCCGAGGCGAGAGGUGCAAUUCUUAGACCCUCGGAAGACAAACAGCUGCGAAAGCGUUUGCCAAGGACGUUUUCAUUGAUCAAGAACGAAAGUAC
rnacentral:rRNA from 1 species